AGUAGUUACGGGCAUAUGAUGAAUGCCUUGACGUGCAAUGCCGAUGAAGGACGUAGUAGGCUGCGAAAAGCCUCGGGGAGCUGCCAAACAAGCUUUGAUCCGUGGAUAUCCGAAUGGGAAAACCCAGUACGAGUAAUGUCGUAUUACCCAUAACUGAAUACAUAGGUUAUGUGGAGGGCACCCGGAGAACUGAAACAUCUUAGUACCCGGAGGAAAAGAAAUCAACCGAGAGUCCCUUAGUAGCGGCGAGCGAAACGGGAUGAGCCAAAACUUAUCUGUUUCUUCACCUUGCGUGAAGUUUUCUUAAGUAAUAACAGAGGGGGUUGCGAGGUAUCGACUCUUUUGUAUCAAUAGAGAAGUUGACCAGCUUUAUAGCUGAACAGCUUCUCUGAUAUAAAAGCCAUCGUUAAGAUCGAAUGGAUGAAGUUACAAAACAAGAGCGUUAUUAGAAGGAGCCUGGAAAGGACCACCAAAGAGCGUGAUAGUCGCGUAUAAUAAAACCUUUUGUCUUUAUUGUUGAUAUUCUCAAGUAGGACGGGACACGUGAAACCCUGUCUGAACCCGGGAGGACCACCUUCCAAGGCUAAUUACAUUGCAUGAUCGAUAGUGCACAAGUACCGUGAGGGAAAGGUGAAAAGAACCCCGUAAGGGGAGUGAAAUAGAAUCCUGAAAUCAUAUGCUUACAAUGAGUCGGAGCACCUUCGGGUGUGACGGCGUGCUUUUUGUAGAACGAUCCAGCGAGUUAAUAUAUACGGCAAGGUUAAGUGUGCAAACGCCACGGAGCCGAAGUGAAAGCGAGGGUUAACUGCCCGACUUAGUCGUAUGUAUUAGACCCGAAACUAGGUGACCUAACCAUGGGCAGGCUGAAGCCGUCGUAACAGGCGGUGGAGGGCCGAACCGUAGUGUGUUGCAAAACGCCCGGAUGACCUGUGGUUAGCGGUGAAAUGCCAAUCGAACCUAGAGAUAGCUGGUUCUCCUCGAAAUAGCUUUAGGGCUAGCGUCAUAAACUACCUAUCGGGGGUAGAGCACUGAAUGGGUUGAGGGCUCCUCGGAGUACCUCGCUCAAUCAAACUCCGAAUACCGAUAGAGACUAUUAUGGCAGUUAGAACGGCGGUGCUAAGAUCGUCGCUCGAAAGGGAAACAGCCCAGAUCGCCAUCUAAGGCCCCCAAGUCAUAGCUAAGUGGGAAACGGGGUGAGAUUGCAUAAACAACCAGGAUGUUGGCUUAGAAGCAGCCAUGCAUUUAAAGAGUGCGUAACAGCUCACUGGUCAAUUGUGAUCUUGCACGGAAAAUAUAACGGGGCUCAAGCUAUGCGCCGAAGAUGCGAAUUCUAUGUUUACAUAGAGUGGUAGAGGAGCGUUCCUCGGGCACUGAAGCUGAACCGUAAGGUUUGGUGGAGCGCGGGGAAGUGAGAAUGCUGGAAUGAGUAACUAUAAGGUAGGUGAGAAUCCUACCCACCGUAAGACCAAGGUUUCCUGGGCAACGUUUAUCGUCCCAGGGUUAGUCGGGCCUAAGCCGAGGACGAAAGUCGUAGGCGAUGGACAACAGGUUGAUAUUCCUGUACCGGCUACUUUGUUCCCAUACAAGACGCAGGAUGGUAGCGUGAGCGGAUUUUUGGCUAUAUCCGUCCAAGUGCGUAGGCUUCGGCUGAAACACGAAUGAAACGAACCGCAAGGUUUGAAUUCGCGUGAGCCAAACUGACCAGAAAAUUGUAUGAUUAAUAGAAGUAGCCGCCCGUACCGCAAACCGACACAGGUGGUCGGGUCGAGUAGACCAAGGUGCUCGGGAGAACCCUCGUUAAGGAACUCGGCAAUACAGCGACCGUAACUUCGGGAUAAGGUCUGCCCCGCCAAUUUAGGACGGGAGAUAUUGUUCGGAUUCUUAACAAUAAUUUUUUAAAAUAACAAAAACGUUGAAGAUAAUAGUGUAAUCGCUUAAGUUUUCGGACGUGUCUCGCGAAUUAAAUUGGCGGGGCCGCAGCGAAAGAGCCCAAGCGACUGUUUACCAAAAACACAGGUCUGUGCUAACACGUAAGUGGAUGUAUACGGAUUGACGCCUGCCCGAUGCCGGAAGGUUAAGGAGAGAGGUUCACGCCUCGAACUGAAGCCCCGGUCAAUGGCGGCCCUAACUAUAAGGGUCCUAAGGUAGCGAAAUUCCUUGUCGGGUAAGUUCCGACCCGCACGAAUGGCGUAACGAUUUGGGCACUGUCUCAACGAGGGACCCGGUGAAAUUGCAAUAGCGGUAAAGAUGCCGUUUACCCGCACCAAGACGGAAAGACCCCGUGGAGCUUUACUACAACUUGGCAUUGGAUUUGGUCAUAUACUGUGUAGCAUAGGUGGGAGACUUUGAAGCUUCGGCGCUAGCCGAAGUGGAGUCAUCAGUGAAAUACCACCCUGUAUGUGACUUGGUUCUUACCGUAACCGUUAUCCGGUUACGGAACAGUGUCUGGUGGGUAGUUUAACUGGGGCGGUUGCCUCCUAAACAGUAACGGAGGCGUUCAAAGGUUAGCUAAGUUCGGAUAGAAAUCGAACUGAUAGGGUAAGCCCAUAAGCUAGCUUGACUGCGAGACUUACAAGUCAAGCAGGUGCGAAAGCAGGAGCUAAUGACCCACUCAUAACACGUGGAAGUGUGAGAGCGCAACGGAUAAAAGUUACCCCGGGGAUAACAGGCUUAUAGCGCCCAAUAGUCCACAUAGACGGCGCUGUUUGGCACCUCGAUGUCGGCUCGUCCUAUCCUGGAGCAGGAGCAUGUUCCAAGGGUUUGGCUGUUCGCCAAUUAAAAGGGUACGCGAGCUGGGUUCAGAACGUCGUGAGACAGUUCGGUCCCUAUCUGGUGUGGGCGUUUAGAAAUUUGAGAAGAGUUGCUCCUAGUACGAGAGGACCGGAGUGAACGAACCGCUGGUGUAUCGGUUGUCAUGCCAAUGGCAUUGCCGAGUAGCUACGUUCGGACGGGAUAAACGCUGAAAGCAUAUAAGCGUGAAGCCUCCUUCAAGAUUAGAUUUCUCCAUUAGACUCGCAGUAGACGACUGCGUUGAUAGGCACCAAGUGUAAGCACAGUAAUGUGUUCAGCUGAGGUGUACUAAUAGUCGAUUGACUUU
rnacentral:rRNA from 1 species